rnacentral:rRNA from 1 species
UGGGGAAUAUUGCGCAAUGGGGGAAACCCUGACGCAGCAACGCCGCGUGAAGGAAGAAGGCCUUCGGGUUGUAAACUUCUGUCUUUAGGGAAGAAGAAAGUGACGGUACCUAAGGAGGAAGCCACGGCUAACUACGUGCCAGCAGCCGCGGUAAUACGUAGGUGGCAAGCGUUGUCCGGAUUUACUGGGUGUAAAGGGCGCGUAGGCGGGCUGUCAAGUCAGUCGUGAAAUGCCGGGGCUUAACCCCGGAGCUGCGAUUGAAACUGAUAGUCUUGAGUGUCGGAGGGGAAAGCGGAAUUCCUAGUGUAGCGGUGAAAUGCGUAGAUAUUAGGAGGAACACCGGUGGCGAAGGCGGCUUUCUGGACGAUAACUGACGCUGAGG